rnacentral:rRNA from 1 species
GUUGAACGCUGGCGGCAUGCCUUACACAUGCAAGUCGAACGACAGCACGGGUGCUUGCACUUGGUGGCGAGUGCCGCAUUUCUGGUUACUACAUCGGGACUUGUCCUGGAGUAGGGUAUCGCCCGGCGAAAGCCGGCUUAUUGCCGCAAACGAUCAUCCGAUGAAAGCGGGCAACCCUGCGUCCUCGGGCGAUAAGGUUGGCCGAGGGCUGAUUUGCUAGUUGGUUGGGUUAGGGCCUACCAAGGCGACGAGCACUAGCUGGUCUGAGAGGAAAACCAGCCACACUGGGACUGAGACACGGCCCAGACACCUACGGGAGGCAGCAGUGCAGAAUUUUGCACAAUGGAGGAAAGCCUGAUCCAGCAAUGCCGCGUGUGUGAAGAAGGACUUCGGGUUGGAAAGCAAUUUUGUCCGGAAAGAAAUAAUUGACUAUCAUACAGGCGGGAGAUGACGGUACCGGAAGAAGAAGCACCGGCUAACUACGUG